rnacentral:rRNA from 1 species
AUGAGCCGUGGGAGGUCUCCGGAGCCGCUUGAUUUCUUCAUAUGGACUGUCGAGGACGUCGGCUUGUGGCUUGAAGAGAUAAAUCUUGGUGGCUACAGACAAGUUUUUGAAGAAAAUAGUGUCAAUGGAGAGUAUCUGGAGAGCUUGUCGAUGUUUACUACCGAGCAGAUUCUGCGGUUUAUCAGGCGGUGCCAUAUGAAAUGGGGAGACUUUAUCACAUUGUGCAAAGAGUUGAGGCGCAUUAAAGUUGCCUGCCUGAAAGGGGAGCAAGAAGUCCGGAGGCCAUGGUGGGCACCAUCUUGCCUAUCAGUGGUGUUUGUGAGGGCGGCAAAGCGGAACCGACAGUCCCGAGUUGUCUCCCUGAAGCUGGAACCUUGA